rnacentral:lncRNA from 1 species
CCGACCCUUCUGCAUCAUAAAGUAAAAAGAGUCUAGAUGGGACAGAACCCUCUGUGAGGGCUCAGAAUCAGGCCUAGCAGACUCCUUUCUAAUUCUUAUAACAUGGGCUUCCUUCAAGAAAGCUGGAGUCCCAUCCCUUUUAGUAGAGCCGACUGACCGCUGCUGUCAUCACCAUGAACAGGACCUGGUCCACCAAGAACUUGACAUGAUGCAGAUGUGGGACCUCACUCACACACAUGAACCCAGCAGGCCAAGGCAGGACAUUGUGUGAAGAGGACCAGCAGCAUGAGAGCAUUGACCUUGAGGAAAGUGCUCAGGCCCCUCUCAGGCUCAGCUGACCCAUUUCAAAGGCGAACAGGUGGGAUUGCUAUUCUACUCUACUGCUUUUGAAAGAAGAAAAUCAACAGCCCCUGCCUCUAUUUGUUGCCUAGGGCAAACAUAACAAAGUACCACAGACUGACGGCUAACCGACAGAAACGGAUGCUCUCGCAGUUCAGGAAGACAGAAGUCCAAAAUCAAGGCAUCAGCAGGGCCAUGCUUUCUCUCCUCAUUUCUUGUGGUUCCCAGUGAUCCUUGGCCUUCCUUGGUGUGCAGCUGUGUAACUCCAGUCUCUGUCUCCAUCACCACAAGGCUGUCUUCCCUCUGUGUGUCUGUGUCUUCACGUGGCUUUCUCCUCUGUGUGUGGGUCUGUGUAUGCUUCUCCUCUUAUAAGAACAUUCAACAUAUUGGAUUAGGGGCCCACUUCACUUCAGCAUGACCUCAUUUUAAUUUAUAACUUAACUAUAUAUGCAAAGGCUUUAUUUCCAAAAAGGUCACAUUCACAGGUACCAGGGGUCAGGACCUCAACAUAUCUUUCAGGGGGACACAAUUCAAUCCACAGAACUGCCCAUGGCUCGAUCUUUUUUGCCAUAUUCUAUACACUGCUUCUCGGUCCAUCAGGAAUGUCUUU